rnacentral:rRNA from 1 species
UGGGGAAUAUUGCACAAUGGGCGCAAGCCUGAUGCAGCCAUGCCGCGUGUAUGAAGAAGGCCUUCGGGUUGUAAAGUACUUUCAGCGGGGAGGAAGGGAGUAAAGUUAAUACCUUUGCUCAUUGACGUUACGCGCAGAAGAAGCACCGGCUAACUCCGUGCCAGCAGCCGCGGUAAUACGGAGGGUGCAAGCGUUAAUCGGAAUUACUGGGCGUAAAGCGCACGCAGGCGGUUUGUUAAGUCAGAUGUGAAAUCCCCGGGCUCAACCUGGGAACUGCAUCUGAUACUGGCAAGCUUGAGUCUCGUAGAGGGGGGUAGAAUUCCAGGUGUAGCGGUGAAAUGCGUAGAGAUCUGGAGGAAUACCGGUGGCGAAGGCGGCCCCCUGGGCGAAGACUGACGCUCAGGUGCGAAAGCGUGGGGAGCAAACAGG